UGUGCCCUUGUGGCCAAGGGCAACGGUAUCCUGGGGUGCAGUAGGAAGAGUGUGGCCAGCUGGUUGAGGGAAGUUAUCCUUCACUUCUACUCUGUCCUGGUCUUCAAAACACUCAUCAGUUACAGAUGUGGUUGAGAAAAUUUUGCACAACCUUUUGUGCAGGGAAGAGGUUCCCUGAAAACUUACAGAUGUGUCAAUCAGUUAAUUCUACUUCUAAAUAGAGUCUACAAAGCUGAUGAUGAUCACUAUCUCACUAUAAGUGAGAAGAAUUGUGUCUGAAAAACAGCUGAUCUAAAAGAUUCCAGAGCCUUCUUAAGAAAUUACAGACAACUACAAAGAGCAUCCACACAUGUUCCACUUCACCAGUGCAGGAAAUUCAAUAAAACUUCUAAACCCAGACCUAAAAAGUAGCUAGAUGCCCAAAUGGCACCUAGGUAGCAGA